CGAGGUACAUGUAGCUAUGCAUCUUAAUGAAUCUACAAGAAGUCUUUCAUGCAAAAGGGCAGGUGGACCCAUAAGAAAUCAAUUGCCAGUUAUAACGUUACGGUCUCUUAAAAAUUAAAACUGAGAGAUUAAUAGAACAUAAAUCAGUAAAUAAUAAUUCAAAAUAGAUAUCCUCUAAUUAACAUGAAGUAUCAAGAGCAAAAUUAAAAUUGACCAAAAACUUUCAUGAUAUAGUUUUCGGGAAAUUUAUGGCGAAUUCUCCGGGAUGAACAUCUUUACAAAAUAUCAAGUUCUAAUAAACAAAAUAUUAGGAAAUAAUAAUAUUUUCUCCUAAAGCACAUCUAAACUCGCUCCUCUCCAUAAACUGAUAAGAUAUCAUUGUUGUAGACCUGAAAAAGAAUAAUUUUUCCAAAGUCAAUGGCAGCAUAACCUGGAAUAUCAUAUACACCAUGUUUUUCUUGUCCCAAAAUGAUGAUAAUCGACACUACAAACAAAUAUAAAGACAUUACAUUAAAAAUUAAUACUAUUACUUUGUAUAUCGGGAUUACCUUGUCAAGAAGUCAGAGUAUUAUCGGCAAUCAAGAGUAUCCUCGUGCUGCUUUAUCACCACAUGAAAGGAGAAUUCUGCUAAAGCCUGACUCUUUUAUUUUAAUGACUAAAUAAAUUGCAACUCUUUAAAUUCUCCAUGUUUCGAAUGAAAUAAUGCAAAGGUCGGACAAUAACUUUUUAAGAUAAGAACCUUUUUGAGCGUUAAAUUAUACAUAUAGCAUUUCAAGAGAUAGCACAAUAAGUGUUGGAAGAUGAAAGGAAAUAAGAUACUGAAUAUACUAAAGGAGCACAACUUUGGACUUCCAAAGGAUCAGAUAAAACGUACAAGUAAUUAUAGUUCAAGGGCUUAAUUAAUCGACUCUUGUGGUCCUAAAUAGUCAUAAUUAAGAUUUAACGCCAUAAAAACAAUAAGGAGAAGCCUAAUGAAAGGAGAAUUCUGCUAAAGCCUGACUCUUUUAUUUUAAUGACUAAAUAAAUUGCAACUCUUUAAAUUCUCCAUGUUUCGAAUGAAAUAAUGCAAAGGUCGGACAAUAACUUUUUAAGAUAAGAACCUUUUUGAGCGUUAAAUUAUACAUAUAGCAUUUCAAGAGAUAGCACAAUAAGUGUUGGAAGAUGAAAGGAAAUAAGAUACUGAAUAUACUAAAGGAGCACAACUUUGGACUUCCAAAGGAUCAGAUAAAACGUACAAGUAAUUAUAGUUCAAGGGCUUAAUUAAUCGACUCUUGUGGUCCUAAAUAGUCAUAAUUAAGAUUUAACGCCAUAAAAAC
rnacentral:lncRNA from 1 species